AGGGGAAGAGGCUGAGAAGAUUUCCUUUUUUUGUGAAGAAUUUAGUUUUUUCACCCCUCUUUUCUCAGCCACCACAGGUGAAUUCCCUCUUGGCAGCUGGCUUAUGAAAUAAUCUGGAGGGAGUCCUUAAUGAGCAGAAAGCCCCCUCAGCUGGAGAUAAAUAUAUGCAAAUGAGAUGCACAAACAAAGGAGCCUGGACAGAGAAAUAUCUGCCGUUCCAGCAAAACGCCGCCUGCAGCUCGAAGAUGAACAGCUUUGAUAAAAUGGAACAAAGCCCUGAACCCAAAGAUCUUACUGCAGAGAGCUUGGGCUCCUGACCUGGAAACUGCUGUGUCUCUGCUGUUCUGUUGAGGUGACUGGUGACGGCAGCUAAGACCACUUAGGAACAUGCUGAACUGGGACUAUACAAGAAUGAAGAAAUGUUUAAUAUUUUGAGAAAUAUUCCUCACAUGACCUGAUGACUCAAACACACCAAUCUGUAUUAAGAAGUGGAUAAAUACAAACAUUUAAAGGAAUCAACAUUUAUCUGGAAUACACAAUUUCAAUGCUCCUCAGCCUCACCCUCAAAAGAGUCAUUUGUCUUCUGCAUCCUGAGUUGUUUAGAGGAUUCUGGCAAAUAUAGCAGUUAAACAAACUUCUCACACAAUCUAAAUACUGUCUGUUCAAAAUAAGACUUCCAGUGUUUAUAGCCCAUAAGUGAAGAAUAAAAAAAAAAAUCUGGUAUUUACCCAAGGACCAUGCACUUGAAAACGUCUCUGAACAAAGUGUUUAAGCAAAACUUUGGCUACAGACAUUCUCAGUUCUUCAAUUUUUCUGGCAUUCCCUGCCUUGGAGGAAUUUUCACACCAGUUUGUUAUUUCUCUUGAAAUUAACUGAUUAAAUUUUAGCCAGAAAUGACUGGGGGACCUGGGCGCAACAACUUCCUUUCGAAACAGAGGAAAAGAAAACAUCCCACUGCCCCCACCCCCCAGACCCCCAUCUCCUGACAAGGGCCUCGGAGGAGAGGCCCGAUUAUGCAUUGUGAUCAGCGUGGUGUGAUUUGACUGUUGACAAAGUAUCGUCGGCAGUGAGAACAGCACAGUCAGGAGCGUGGCGGGUUGUAAUCAAGAAGAUGCUUAGCUGUGCAACACUGCAUCUUGAGCAGAUUUGAAUCAGCAUUGCCUGAAGGGGGUACACACACACCGAAAGAAAACUCCAUUCACUCUUAGAGGGAACAUUAGAGUGGCACUUGAAGUAAAAUUUGACACGCGUUAAUUGCUCUGUGGCUCUCCUAAUUAGAGACUCAGACUCUUCCACAUGGCCUUGCUGGACAAAUACCGAAACUGCAAAUUGGUCUGACCAAGAAGUUGUGCACGUAAGACUGGACUCCACAUUCUGGUUCACUUCCAAACAGUGGUCAGCUGGGGAGCAAUGCCCACUUUUCUCUUCAGCCCAGGCUUAAAGGCGAGCCUGGUGAACAGUUCACCAUCACGCCUAAUGCAAAGGAAGCGGGUGCUGCUGGGGUCUGCAUAGGCAGGUGGAAACGUCCCUGUGGUAGCCUGCUUCCUAUGAAAUACUUCAGGUGGAAGAAAGACAGUGAGAGGCUAGUAUACUCAUGUUUCUACUUAGAUCAUGCAGAAAUUGUCGAGGCAGACUUUUUCAGACACCAUGUUCCAUUUUUCUCAGUUUUAACCUUGCACUCCAGGUUCACCCUUCUUGUCCUAAAGUAAUUACACUACUGUUUGGCCCCCAUGUUGCCACCAAAUAUGAUACCAUAAUUUUGGCUUCCUUUAUUCAACUUCUCUUGUCUAGCCCUUGAACUCCUUUUAAUUCAUUAACAUAUUGAAUUUUUUCAAUUUUCCAUUUUCUUGCAAUAACAAUAUUAAUGCCGGAAUGAAAGCUUGAUUGGAGCUAAAUUACUUGUUACCUGCUGGCAUUUAUUUAUAUGGCAUUGAAUUAUAAAGCUUUGCUAUUGUCAUGCCUUGGGCGAAUUGUUUAUGACACCAGUAAUAGGAGUAAUUGUUAUUGUUGAAAUUACCUGUCAGCUACCCAUAGCAGUGGCCCUUGUCCCACUGACAAAUAGUGACAAGGGAGAGGCAUCCUCCAUGCGUCCCCCUGAUGGCUUCUCCUCUGAUAAUAAGAAGUGCAGGGCCUCUGAUAAUUUGCCUGUCACUGUUGAGUGCAGCUCAGAGAGAGUUGGCCAAAUUGUUGUCAUUCACUUUGACAAAGACAGCAAAAUGCUCCCAUGGAGGAGGAGGAUUAUCAAAAUAAAUGAAAUCACUUACACCCUCUUUGUUUGUUUGGCUCAAGAAUUGCAUGGCUUUGUAUGAGGAUGUUAAAUCAAGGUCCUGGUC